rnacentral:lncRNA from 1 species
UCUGGAUCGGCGGCGGGGGCUGCGGCCUCGCAGGGGAAGCCUGGGCGGCGAGCUGGGCCCUGCUCUCGGGGCGCGGGGUCCCCAUUCUGGGCGAGGGCGGCCGCUCCCGCGCUCGGGGUGGGCGCGCCCCCUCCCAGUUCCCCGUCCCCGUCUCGGUCCCCCGCAGCCGGUGAGCGCAGGGAGGUUCCAGGGCCCGCGGCCGCGGGUUCGCGAGGCCCGCGCUCCAGAUCGAGAGCGGCGCGCGCCCUUUCCCGGAGGACAGCGGGGCUGCGAGGGGCGCAGAGGGGGCGCCCGUGUCCCACCCGAUCGCGGGCGCCUUACGGGGCGUCCUCUGCGCCAUUCACUUGUCAGCUUCUCGGGAAGUUGAAAUCGCAUUUGGGAGGUAAUAGGAGAAAGAGAUUGGGGACGGCAGGCGGUGAAAGUGCGGUUUCCAUAGCGCCGGGGAGAGGGCGGGCCCGCGAACCAGCGGCCCCGGAGCCGGGAGACCGCGCGGGCGUCUCUCCAGUCCCCGCGGGAGCGCCCCCUUCCUUCCGCAGGGGCGUCCUCUCCCUGCACCGCUGCGGGAGCCCCCCCUUCCUUCCUCGGAAGCGUCUUCUCACCACACCGCUUCAAAAGCCCCCCUUUCUUGUACAGGGGCGUCCUCUCCCCCUCCGAGGCAGGAGCCCCCUUCUUUCCACAGGGGCGUCCUCGCCCCCUCCGAGGCAGGAGCCCCCUUCUUUCCACAGGGGCGUCCUCGCCCCCUCCGAGGCAGGAGCGCCCCUUCUCCCCCCGUGGAGCGGCCCGCGCCCAGCGGACUGGCAGGUGGGCGGGCGUCCACUACCUGUGUGCGCGUUGCGGGCGGUGACGGCCAAGUUGGAGAUGCCAUUGGAGCACUGCUUCGAAUUCUUAUAUCUGCGGGGCUUUUGUGACUUUCAAAGCCUAUAGCAAAUAAGCACCCCUACAAUUGCCUCUCCUCAGUGACCAAGUCAGGGUGAGGUGAGGGCUUCCUGAGUUCAGAUCCCAGCGGGCUGCCGAUCCUGUACAACGAAGAAAGCUCAACAAAACCGG